GACGAACGCUGGCGGCGCGCUUAACACACGCAAGUCGAGCGCCCCGCAAGGGGAGCGGCAGACGGGUGAGUAACGCGUGGGAACGUACCCUUUGCUACGGAAUAGCUCCGGGAAACUGGAAUUAAUACCGGAUGUGCCCUUCGGGGGAAAGAUUUAUCGGCAAAGGAUAGGCCCGCGAUGGACUAGCUAGUUGGUGGGGUAAAGGCCUACCAAAGCGACGAUCCAUAGCUGGUCUGAGAGGAUGAUCAGCCACAUUGGGACUGAGACUACGGCCCAAACUCCUACGGGAGGCAGCAGUGGGGAAUAUAGGACAAUGGGCGCAAGCCUGAUCCAGCCAUGCCGCGUGAGUGAUGAAGGCCCUAGGGUUGUAAAGCUCUUUCACCGGUGAAGAUAAUGACGGUAACCGGAGAAGAAGCCCCGGCUAACUUCGUGCCAGCAGCCGCCGUAAUAC
rnacentral:rRNA from 1 species